rnacentral:misc_RNA from 1 species
CUAACUUCAAAAGGUUAGUAGUACUUACAAAGGUGAUCUAAGAUCUUCUAGCUUCUAUAGAUUGCAAAUACCUUCGCUGUGCUUCCAAAAGUGUCAUAAGCAUUCGUCAACUUCUUAAGGUUAGUGAAGACUAUUGGCUACACUUCCUUAAGUAUAGCAAGAUUCCCUAUCUCGUCAUGGGUUAGGAAAAACCUCCUGAAACUUCCUAAGAUUCUACAAGGCUCAUUGGCCUCUUCUUAGAUGAGUGAGAUCCUAUGAGCAAUCAUGAGUACUUCACUUGUAGGCUAAUCGAAGUUAAAAGUGAAAAAGGACACAUAUGAAGAAAAAGGAGUGUAUAUAGUAAUUCACUUAGUUAAAUAAUUUAUAGUAAUAGGAGUGUAUAUGAAGAAAAAGGACAAG